AGCGAACGCUGGCGGCAGGCUUAACACAUGCAAGUCGAGCGGGCCUUUCGGGGUCAGCGGCGGACGGGUGAGUAACGCGUGGGAACGUGCCCUCUGGUUCGGAAUAACUCAGGGGAACUUGAGCUAAUACCGGAUACGCCCUUGUGGGGAAAGGCUUGCUGCCGGAGGGUCGGCCCGCGUCUGAUUAGCUAGUUGGUGAGGUAACGGCUCACCAAGGCGACGGUCAGUAGCUGGUCUGAGAGGAUGAUCAGCCACACGGGGACUGAGACACGGCGCAGACUCCUACGGGAGGCAGCAGUGGGGAAUAUUGGACAAUGGGCGCAAGCCUGAUCCAGCCAUGCCGCGUGAGUGAUGAAGGCCUUAGGGUUGUAAAGCUCUUUUAUCCGGGACGAUAAUGACGGUACCGGAGGAAUAAGCCCCGGCUAACUUCGUG
rnacentral:rRNA from 1 species